GUGGCCAAGAUCUUCGCCAAGGUCCUCUCGUUACGCCUCGCCCCGAGGCUGGAUGUUCUAGUCAGCCGGAACCAAAACGCAUUCAUCCAGGGCCGGAGCCUCCACGAUAAAUUUAUCCUGGUCAAACAAUCUCUACGGAUGCUACACCAGCUAGGGGCUCCCCGGAUCAUGCUGAAGCUCGACUUAACGCGCGCCUUCGACACCAUAUCAUGGCCAUUUCUAUUUGAGGUCCUGCGACAAUACGGGUUCGGAGACAGAUUCAUGGAGUGGCUCGCAAUCCUGCUUUCGACAGCGAGCACUCGCGUCCUGCUGAAUGGUGAGCCAGGCCCUCCCAUAUGGCAUCGCGCUGGCCUGAGAAAAGGUGACUCCGUGUCCCCCCAGCUCUUCGUGCUUGCCGUGGACACGCUUGGCAGGCUGAUGCGCCGGGCUAUGGAAGCCGGCAUCCUGCGGCAGCUACAUCCCAGGCGCCCCAUCCCAGCGAUCUCUCUCUAUGCGGAUGAUGUGAUGCUAUUCUGCCACGCCACACCGGAGGAUGUUGCCGCCAUCAAAGGAAUCCUAACCUUAUUC
rnacentral:rRNA from 1 species